CACGUAGGGCGCAAGCGUGUCCGGAAUUAUUGGGCGUAAAGAGCUCGUAGGCGGUCUGUUACGUCUGCUGUGAAAACCCAGGGCUUAACCCUGGGCUUGCAGUGGAUACGGGCAGACUAGAGGCAGGUAGGGGAGAAUGGAAUUCCCGGUGUAGCGGUGAAAUGCGCAGAUAUCGGGAGGAACACCGGUGGCGAAGGCGGUUCUCUGGGCCUUACCUGACGCUGAGGAGCGAAAGCGUGGGGAGCGAACAGG
rnacentral:rRNA from 1 species